GACGUAGGAUGCAAGCGUUGUCCGGAUUUAUUGGGCGUAAAGAGUUCGUAGGCGGUUUGUUAAGUCUAGUGUUAAAUAUCGGGGCUCAACCCCGGGACUGCAUUGGAUACUGGCAGACUGGAGUGUGGUAGAGGUAAGUGGAAUUUCUGGUGUAGCGGUGAAAUGCGUAGAUAUCAGGAAGAACACCGGUGGCGUAGGCGACUUACUGGGCCAUAACUGACGCUGAGGAACGAAAGCUAGGGGAGCAAAUGGG
rnacentral:rRNA from 1 species